rnacentral:pre_miRNA from 1 species
AGCCCUCUGUAUCCGUGCUGAGAUUUCGUCAGAGAUGAACCCGUUAGGGCUGAUGGUACUUCCCAAAUAAGUGAAGCG